rnacentral:lncRNA from 1 species
CCGAGCUGCAGUGCCGCCUACAAGUGGUGCGCUGGCUGCAGCUGUGGCAACCCCGGAUCCCGUCCUCCCGCCUCGCACCCAUCAGCGCGGACCCCGGGGGCGACGCAGUGGCGAAGUGGGGCUGUGGGCCCAGCGGUGGCACCAGGCGGAGAAGCACCACUCAACCCCAUCCCUGGGCUGCAGAGGGCCCAGCGCGGGGGACUCCGAGCGUCGGGAGCCUGUGGAAGAGAAGAGCGC